UACAGAGGGUGCAAGCGUUAAUCGGAAUUACUGGGCGUAAAGCGCAUGUAGGUGGAUAGAUAAGUUUGAUGUGAAAGCCCCGGGCUUAACCUGGGAACGGCGUUGAAGACUGUUUAUCUAGAGUUUGACAGAGGGUCGUGGAAUUUCCGGUGUAGCGGUGAAAUGCGUAGAGAUCGGAAAGAACACCAGUGGCGAAGGCGGCGACCUGGGUCUAAACUGACACUGAGGUGCGAAAGCGUGGGGAGCAAACAGG
rnacentral:rRNA from 1 species